rnacentral:rRNA from 1 species
AUUGAACGCUGGCGGCAGGCCUAACACAUGCAAGUCGAACGGUAACAGGAAACAGCUUGCUGUUUCGCUGACGAGUGGCGGACGGGUGAGUAAUGUCUGGGAAACUUCCUGAUGGAGGGGGAUAACUACUGGAAACGGUAGCUAAUACCGCAUAACGUCGCAAGACCAAAGAGGGGGACCCUCGGGCCUCUUGCCAUCGGAUUUGCCCAGAUGGGAUUAGCUUGUUGGUGGGGUAACGGCUCACCAAGGCGACGAUCCCUAGCUGGUCUGAGAGGAUGACCAGCCACACUGGAACUGAGACACGGUCCAGACUCCUACGGGAGGCAGCAGUGGGGAAUAUUGCGCAAUGGGCGCAAGCCUGAUGGAGCCAUGCCGCGUGUAUGAAGAAGGCCUUCGGGUUGUAAAGUACUUUCAGCGGGGAGGAAGGGAGUAAAGUUAAUACCUUUGCGCAUUGACGGUACCCGCAGAAGAAGCACCGGCUAACUCCGUG